rnacentral:rRNA from 1 species
CAGUCGCCGCGGUAAUACGAAGGGGGCUAGCGUUGCUCGGAAUUACUGGGCGUAAAGGGAGCGUAGGCGGAUCGUUAAGUUGGGGGUGAAAGCCCGGGGCUCAACCUCGGAAUUGCCUUCAAUACUGGCGAUCUUGAGUAUGGAAGAGGUAUGUGGAACUCCGAGUGUAGAGGUGAAAUUCGUAGAUAUUCGGAAGAACACCAGUGGCGAAGGCGACAUACUGGUCCAUUACUGACGCUGAGGCUCGAAAGCGUGGGGAGCAAACAGGAUUAGAUACCCCAGUAGUCCAUGUCUCUUAUAC